UAAGGGCCGAAUGGCCCUGCGGCCGGCAGAGCGCGGAGGCGGCGCGGGCGCGCGGGCUGGCCGGGGCUCCGGGGGGACGCGGCCGGACCCCAGCCCCGCCACUCCUCGCCCGUUCUCAGCCGCCCGGGCCCCGCCAGCCCGAGGCGGGGAGAGGAUUUGCCUUCGGCUCGCUCUUGGCGCUCAGCAUGGAGGACUUCUUGUGGGAGCCGCGUCCGGGCGAGGCGCGCUCGCCUCCUGGGGACCCCCGCCCGGGCACUGCGCGCGGCCGCCGGGGAUGCGGGGCGCAGAGGCCGCGGCGGCGGCGGCGCCUCGACCUCGGGUGGAACGUGGAGAACGGGUAGGGGGCUCCGGACCCAUAACGUGGAUUACUUGGUGCCCAGGAGCCGGGAGGAGGAGACCCGCGUCCUCGCGCCGGUCCGUGCGGCUCCGUGCCUGCAGCCGCCGGGGCGCUCUCUGCAGGUGAAAUCGGAGGUCUCAGACGGACGUGCCGGGUGCUUCUAACCAGGGAAGAAGGGCCAGAAGGAAGCAAGGUGAGCUGCUCGCGGUCACCUCUCACGGGGCGGGUUCUGCACUCCUCUCCCGAGACGCCCCUCCCGCCGCUGCACGGCAGCCCAGGGCGCUGGUUGGCAGGUCCAGGCCUGGGAAGACAGACGGAGCGAGAGCUGCUCUUUCCCGCCACGCUUCGUGACCCCAGCCCACGCCCCGGACCCCCACGGAGGACUCGGCUGAGGGCCGGCACCCUGGGUUCCAUCAGGAGUUCCUACUUUGGAGAAUAAAGGAGAUGCGGGGUGGAGAGCAGAGCCCUCGGGUGAAGGACUCGUCUGUGCCUCGGCCAGGCCCUGGGCUCCGUUCUUGGACGUUCAGUGUUUCGCUGAGACGCUGGCCCCGCCCCAGCGGGCGGCCGGAGGCCUUCCUGCCACACCCUGGCCAGGGCCGCAGUGCUCCUGGGCUCGGCGUUUCUCCUUGUUUGCUCCACUCUCUUCCAGCCGGAUGCUGAGUGAAUAGUUAACUACAUGUAGGUCAAAUGGGAUCUCCAUUUUCGUUCCUGCUCCGUCUAGAGAGGCCAGCAUGUGUGCAUUGUGGGCGGCCGUGGGGUCGGAUCCCGUCUCGCUUAUUUGGGGUCUUUCCCCCAGCCAGGUUCCAGAGUGAUGCAGGGGUCGGCGUGGGAGUUCUUCCGGCUCUCAGAUGUUCUGGGCCCCGGCAAAGGCUGCCACAGGGGAGCCUGUUGUCUUCCAUGCGUGACUUUGUCUUUGGGUCACAUGCAGGUGUCCAUGUGUGCGACAAAAACGGACACUGUCCUUCAUCCUGUCACCUGUGACCUGAGACCCUCAGACCUCUGCUCUCCUGGUGGCAGUUGGGGUCCUUGCCAGAAGCUGGUCUUCAUGCCAGGGCAGCCAGCCACCAGGACUGGGGUGUUUUGAAGGGCCCCUUCCCCGCCGGGUGUGCUGUUGCCAACAGCUCGAGUCUCCACUGUUCCUUUCGCUCUGUAGCACAGUUGCUUAACUGUCCCUCACGGGGCAACCCGGCCCCAGUGCAGCGUCAGAGCCGUUGGUGCUUUCUGGUUCCCAAAGCAAAUGGGGGUGCCUUGUUUCGGUGAAAGGAUUGGGAGUUUCCCCGGCUGUGUGUUUGGGGUCCCUCCCGGCAGCUCAGACUCAACACAGAGCAGUGCAGGCGUCAGUGCUGUUGGAGGGGAAAGAUGGCUGCCGAGCCCUGGCACACAGUCACAGCCGUGGCGUUUCGUGGGCUCCCUCAGGUGCCGAGGAACAGAGAGCCGCUCACGUCACUGGCUGAUUGCAGUGCUGGCUAAUGGCAGAGCCGUGGUGGAAGGCAGACAGGGAACAGUCCCGGUGGACGCCCAGCACGGGCCUUGUCAAGAGGCCCAGAGCCAUUCAGCACAGCCAGCUGCUGUCAGUGGUGCCCAGGGCGAGCAGGGGCAGUAACGUCCUGGUCAUCUGGCCCCUCUGUUCAGCACGGGGGCUCACUGCUGCCGACUCUGCAGCUCCACUGCUGUGAUGGGCUGAGGGUGACCCUCGCCCGGUUUGCCUAGGAUAAGGGGUGAGUGGUAAAGUGCGGACAGCCCUAUGCAAACCGUUGGCUGCCCCACUGGGUGACUCCCCGGCACCUGCUGUGCCUGUUUUGCCUGCUGUCACCGAGUGCUGUGCUUGGUUUGCUUGGCCGGUCGCCAUGUGGGGCUGUUAUCUGGUCACGCCAUUGGCCACUGGGUUACCCAUGGAUGGAUGCCGUUGGAUCAGACCCCAGUCCUGAUGAGAUGAUGAGAUGACCGUGAAAUGGUCGGGGUGGGUGAUGUUGAGUGAUGGCCUGGGUGUGAAGAACCAACAGAGACCGUGACCUUCCGAAGGGUGUUGUAGGGAGUGAGCAUGCCAGAUGUUGGGGGAUUCCCUUCUUAGUCUACCUAGAUGGGAGAAAUUAACCUUUCUCAUUAAAAACAAAACUGUUCAUGAAGAAACAGCUGCUGCGAACAGUGGACAAGGUGUGCAUUGUAUGCAGUAAGGAACCAAGUAGAAGGUUCCACAUCUUUGCUAGACAGCGAGCUAUUAUUUCUGAGAUGGUCUUAUCUGGCGAGCAGAGCAGUUCCUAGAGAACUUCCCAAGAUGCCUUUGAACUCUAAAAUCUUUGAAAUCCCACGGGCUGGUAAAUCGGAGCUAAGUAUGCACUCUCUGUCUACGGUCUCCUGAGAACCGUUGAGGUGAGCUCAGAGCGUGUUGAGUGGGACCUCCCCGCCUCUCCUCACCUUUGCCGACGUUGGCUUUAUUGGGAAAAGGCAGCUUGGGGGUGGUGGGUGCGGGGUGAGGUUAGGGGAGAGAGCAAGGGAGCUGUGCCAGCCCAGUUCUUUGGUGUUUGUGACAGGAAGAACAGCCUGAUAGCCAAGUGCAGACUUUUUCACCAUUUGGGAAAAGCCAGGUUUCCAGGACAGCACUGUCCCCUGAGGCCGCCUGCCAGUCAGGGCAUCCGUCUCCCAUGUUUUUUCACUGGAGCACGAAUCCCCAGUCGCCUUGCAUGGCGUGCCCACGGGAGGUGGUUAUGGGCGAGGGUAGCGACAAGCAUGCAGACAGCCAGAGGCCGCUCCCUUGUUAGUUACUCCUGGGAUGCCCGUGCACCCCGGGUUGGCCCCUGGCUCGCCCUUACGUUACGGCCUGCGGUACCAUGGUAGGGGGUGCCAGCCCAGCUCCUCGGGUGUCAGUUUUCGUUUUUGAAAGAUGAGCACAUUUCAGAUGUCCCCUCCGUGUCUGUCCCACACUCAUUCUCUGAUUCCAGUAGGGAGUUCUGCUGUCGUACCAAAAGCAACAGGCUCCACCCCCCCACAGCCCUAUAUCCUCUCAUCCACGUAGAAUCCCAGAGGCUGAGGUGGGCAUGGGCACCACCCUCCAACCUUGCCCUUUUCUAACAUGUGGCGGGGAUGGCCCAGCCCUGGGUGGGAGCCCUUCUUCCGAGUGCGGAAGAACUGCGGGAGGAGGCGCCAUGACGCUCGACCCAACCUGGAAGCAGCAGAAUUUGUAAGAGCAGUUCCUGGGCUGCCGAGGGGGCCACUGAAUGUCCAUUUCCUAGUGAGAUGUUGAGCUAAAUGCGUGUGUCCUCUCGCCAGCAUCUGACAGCCUCCUCUUUCUGGAUCCGGGUAGCGUGCGUGGACGCUGGUAAAAAGCUCAGAACAAGGAGACAGUUUUUGACUCAAAGUCCCUCAUCUUAGUGCCUUCCAUGAAUGCCCGGGGCUAGGCCACACCGUCUUUGCAGGUUCCUCCUGCUCGGGCGUCCACGGUGCCUUCCCAUUUGAUGCAUGAGCCAUGGGCUUGCUAGGAGCUCAGGUCCGGUUGCUUUCUGUUCCGCAUUCCCCAGGUACACCAUAAAAUUACUCCAGCCCCGUGAACAUACUCAUCCUGCCUUAGUUCUUUACGAAUAUGACUUAAUUUCAGAUCAGCUCUGCUUCCCCCCACCCCCAGACUUUAUUCAACUUCCCUAGAAGAUUUUUCCAUGUCCUUGAAGGAAUUUGACCCAUAGGAAAACGUUUGUCCUCCCUCCUGGCCCUGGACCCCUGUGUGGGAAGGUGUGAGAGCCGUGGUAGCAGACGUGGGAGGUUUUCAUGACCAAGCAGGUCCCUGUGCUCGAGGACUCGGGUGACCUGGAAAUGGCGGCUGACCCUGGAUGAGACCCUCCCAUUCCGGGCCGGUAGCGGGGACGGAGGUGGAGCAGAGCCCUGAGCUGGCAGGAGAUGGCAGCUCUGGGGACCCGCGUGCCCGUCCUGCCUGGACUUCCCCUCCAGCUCCAAGAUCCUGUGCACGUCCGUCGCUCGGGCCCUCUCAGGGGCCUCCGUUUUCUCCACAGUAGAACGGGACAAGGAAGGGGCAUCAGCCGGGCCUGACCGGCCUGUUGGUUCUGUCUGUGUGGCAGGGUCUCAGCUGGCCCGGCUGGUGCCUGACCGUCCCCUGGCAAGGAGCUCCAUCUACCCUGGGCCUUUAGCUGCCAAAGGCAGCAACUCGGUGGCUCGGGAAGUCCAUUACCAGGGAGUACUUCAAAGCUGUUUGCCCUUGUCAGUUGCACUGAACUUGAGUUUGUCGAGGGAGAACGCAAAUAGACACACUGGCUGAUGACAGGGGGAGGGGAAGGGGCACUGCUGUUUACCCCGGGGGUAAAUGAGAGGGAAGGGAAAAAAAAAAAGAGAGAGAGAGAAACGAAACCCUGCCUGCCGUUUUGACCAAUAAAUAAAAACUGGGAGCUCGGCGUGGCUCAAACCCUAGGGGAUUUAUUAGUUUGCUUAGAGAAAGGCAAAUACGAAGUCUUAAGCUGACCCGUCCUGGGACCUGCCUCUUGGCUUUUGUAUGCCGUCCGGCGCCGAUCACCGGGUGCUCCGGGUUAUCGAGUCCUGUUGAAAGGUUUUGAAAAAAAAAAAAAGAAAAAUUCGUUUCCUGUCUCCUUCUUCGCUUCCUCCUUUGCGGGCCUCUUCCCCUCGCCUCCCGCCUUUUCUGGUGUCUCAGGACUGGGCUUUGGAGAGCUGAGGAGAGCAGGAGCCUGCAGAAAACUGCCUGUGCUCAGGGCCCUUGCUGGCUUGGGAACCUCUGGGGCGGCUCAAGGUCAGGGCGGGGCGGGGAGCCCGGGCAGGUGGUCCUCAUGGGGCCCCUCCAUCCUGAACGCUAGGCGCCAAGCUAUAGGGCAAAGGCCUGGUCCCUCAUUAAACACGUCGUGGGUGUAGUCCCAAGCGUUGGAAAAGAACAGGUGGCAGCUGUUUCUGAGUUGUAGCCUUCCCAUCCUCGGUGACUGUUCCUACCUGCCUGACUGCUGGUUGCAGCCUGACGCACUGACAGGUGGGUCUGGGAGCCCACGGAGCGAAAUACCAAACUGAAGGGGCCGGUCGGUCACCCCGUCUAUCCAGUUUCCAAGUGGAACUCAGCUUGAUAGGCCACGGGCUUUACCUCUCACUUCUAGCAUCCCCAGCGCAACCUGGGAUAGCCCUGAAGCUACAGUGUUCUCGGGUGCCCAGGUCCCAUGGGCGGGUGCUUUCUGGUCACCCCCCUGGUGAGGUGUCAUUGAGCACCCGCUGCAGUUCCUUUACCAGAUCCGCCCUUGGAGGGUGCACCUUACCAGUGUGACGGGGACCUGUGCCCACUGCGCAUGCCAGCCAGGAGCUGGGAAUGUCCUGGCACUGUUUAAUUAAGAAAGUUCCACUCAUGUUCCAGUAAUGAUUUCUGUUUGAGAUCACCAGGAUUCCUAAUCCUAUGUUGAUUGUUCAUGGAGGAGAUGGUUUUUUGAAGAGCAAAUGUUGGACACAUGGGCUGCUGAAAUCCUAUGAAUCCUGUGCUCAUGUCAAGUGCCUCUUUGUCUAGGAAGUCUUCCUGGACUUCCUCCCUCUCAAUGAUGUGUGACCGCCCCCUCACAUACUCUUUUAAAGCAUCUCCCGUUGGAUAGAUACUCGAAGAAUGUCGGCCCCUCCUCCUUGAGCAUACAUGUUAGUAUCUCAUUUAGUAUGCUUGUCCUGAACUUGGGGGCACCCUCGCCCCCAGCAUAUCUCUCUUUUCCUGUCUCUGUCACCCUGUCUCUUCUCUAAGAUCAGAAUCGAAGUCAUUCCUUAGUCCUGCAAAUGUAUCCUUGCCGUGCCCAAUCAUGUUUGGGUCACGUGGUAGGCCCUGUGAUGGGCAUUUCACAUAUUCUCUCAUUUAAUCGUCAGAAAACAGGGACUUAAAUGCAUCCGUUGCUUUGACCAAGUCUUUUAUGUGAGAGUUGGAGUUCAAAGCCAGGGUCAUUGACAAUGUCAAGUUCAGAACUCGUAAAUGUGUGUGUGGUGGCUUUUACAUGGCGGAUGGACAAGAAAGAUGUGGAGUUGACUUUCCCUGUUUACAACCUGUUACUGUGUGUACCACCAACUUGUCUGUUUUCUGUUUGCCCAUGAGUAAUCAAUAAAGUGUUAUCUGAACAGCCAAGAAUGUGUUGUUUCAUUGGUGGGUUUCCCAGCAGAAGUUCUUCUUGAAAGAGAAUGUGUCUGUGUCUGGUUUUGGCCGGUUGUCUUUGAGCCAGCUUCGUAUCCAAUAUGCAAAACAUAAAUGGCAGAAUUUCAGAUCGAAAUUUCUACCAAGUUUCACGGUGUCUAAUAGAAAUACAGGAAGGCAAAACAAACCACAUCUGAGAUUGUACCUGCUCUCUAGAUUUUAUUUACAGCCUGGUUAGACAAGACCCGCCCAUGUAAAACCAUCAAUCACACUUGCCGAAUGAACUCAGCCGUUCCUGGAGACUCGGCGGGCUGGAGCGUUCACCUGCUCUUGACCCUGAUAGAACUUUCCCAGCAAGUCACAGGCCCCAGGCACGGGGCCUGGAUGAUGUGGGGGCAGAUCCUUUGCCGCAGGACUGUACCCGGGUCAAUCCUUGCCACCUGGGGAUGACAGACAACAGGAGAAGAGGCACUGCCCAGGGCAAGCGGGCCCGGGAGGACGAGUGUCCCCAGCGGCCAUGAGUCUCCCCUGCCCUGGUAAGCAGAGCAGAAAAGCAGGCAGAAGCUCCCCUCUGGGGGAAGAGAAGCCCUGAAAACAUCCUCUGCGGAGCUCAUUCACACCGGCAAACAAGAGUUUGGACAAAGGAGACGUUAGCCGUUUCAGACAAGAGGGAGCAGUUUCAGACAAGAGGGAGGCGAUGGGACCCAGAGCCAAGAUCAUCAGACCACCCCGGGAAACAGAAGGCCAGUGGUUUCCAGGCUUUCCCAUGCUGGCUCUCUUUGGGAGAAAGCUGCUCAUUGGAUUCUCUUGGCAAG